CUCUAGGCGGGAGUCUACGGGCGGGGGGGACACACUAAUCCUCAGGCUCCUGCAAACAGUUCUGCCUUCCCCAUUCCUUCCUGCAGGCAAGGCACGCAUUUGCCUACUCAAGGUGCCAAGAAUUCAGGCAACAAAGAAAUCUGCCCAUUCAGCUGAACUGACCCUUUCUCCAACUUCGGUGACAUUCGGGUCCUUUGUGCGAGCCUGUGUGCGUGUGGCCAUUACCUCGACCGCGAAGCAAGCGUUGCACUUCCCUCCCUGCCUGGCCUCUCUCCUGCCACUUUCCUGUUUGGGGAUCCAUCCACCCCCGGCCUGGUCCUGCCUGCCUCUCCCAGGAGGCCCCGGCAUCUUCCUCUGUGACCCCUCUUGCUGGCCACAGCUUCGUCCUGCCUUCCUGCACCUCCUUGGACAUCCCCACCGAAGCAGAGGCCGGUCACCUCUUGUUCCUCUGGAGAAACUCCCAGCUCCAAGUCGAGAUCAGAGGAGUCUUGGAAAGAUAGUGACGUUCAUAACAACUCCUCUCUCCUCUGUCUUGAAGAGUGGCGGCCACGGCUGGUACCCGGCCCUCUGGCCUCUGAGGUCAGAAUGUGCCUCCCGAGAAGCACAUUCACCCUCAACAAAGCCCCUGCCUGCGGCCGCUCGGCCUCAAGGAUCCCACCCCCUCUGCUACAGAUCUCCCCCGCCAGCCAGGGCAUCCCCAGGAGAAGCAAACUCUCCAGCAGUAGAAAUUGAGAUGUAAAACGUUGAUUAUUUUAUUGGGCUUAAUAGGAGAAGAACAACAGCCAGCCGACAGGAUUUGUUGUCAAGGUUAUUUUCAG
rnacentral:lncRNA from 1 species